CAAGGCCCCACCUCCUCCCUCAGCGCAGCUUUGCAGGCGCUGGGGCUCCCAAAGGACGGAGCUUUGAAUCCACCUGGGAGGCUUAAGAGAAAGUGCUGAGUCCCCCAUGCCCUACCCCUGAGACUGCUGACAGGCAUCGCUGAGGGCUGCAGCUUUGGAAUCGGGCAUCUUCUGAGGAAGAGAAAGGCACCACAGCCACGGCACAGAAGACUAGGGGAGCCAGCUUCAGCUUUUGCCAAGUGUUUGGUUCAUCUGACGCUUGGUGAAGUCACAUGCAUCUGCUGCCCUGACAUCCAGGAGAAGGAACCAUCUGGCUCAAGAAUCCAUUACAGAAGAGGCCGUCAGCACCCGUCACUUGUGCCUCCCCAUGUCCAGCUGAGUUUCUUUCUCUCUGCUCAACUCCAAAGUGUUGAUGAGUCAAUCGAUGCGGCCCUUGCCACUGCGUCUCACUGGGAAUUCCGGUGAGGUGGCCGUCUGCCUGCGUGCGUGCCAGCUAGCUCCUCGAUCAAUGCACACUUCUUUAAAGUGCUGCAGGAUGCUGCUGGAAAGGAUUUGGUCUGGCUCAUUUGGCUGUUGAAAAAGGCCACGCCUGCUUCAAGUUCCUCCAGUACUCGGGGAGACGGGUGUCACUAUGCUGCCCAGGCUGGUCUCUCGUGGCUUCAAGAGAUAUUCCCACCUUGGUCUUCCAGAGCACUGGAAUUGAAGGUGUGGAAUUUUAUUAUGGAGCAAAUCAACAUGACCCUUAAUAUUGGAACGCAGCUAUCGACCAGAUAAAUACCUUCUCACUAGACCCAUUUGCAAGCAC
rnacentral:lncRNA from 10 species